AACUAUUGGUUGGAAAGACACCCUGUCAGUGCUCUUAGUUGUGGAAGAAACUGUGGCAUGUGCUCAGCUCUAAUUAUGAACUGGGGAAUGGUGAGGGGAAAAGUUGUAGACAGAAGGAAAAACUAGAAUUUCAGAUACCAGCAUUGACCAAAUCUAUAAGAAACUAGACCCACCGUUGUCCUCAUAAGUUACUUCCCAGUUUCUGUGCUUUAUAGAAGGGCCAAAUGCUGCUUCAGCUUUUCCAAAUGGAAUAUUAACAAUAUAUUUGAGACAGAUUUUUCUUUAACCCAGCUGCAGGUGUAAACUUUGGUAUAUCUGAAUUGGCACAAAUCCUUUUCGUUACUUUUUCUCCUCCUUCACCUUUUUCAGUACUUCGUUGUGCAGUAAGUUUACAGUGCAUUUUAAAAUAAUACAGUAAUUCAUCUAAAGGUUUGCAAGUCAAGUGGUACGCUUCUGAGAGAAAUUUCUUGUGACAAAGCAUGUACUAAUAGAAAAAUGGUAGUGUUUGUUAGUCACUGUUAACUUUGAACACAGCAAUAUAAAACAUUAAAAAUAUGAAAGUUAAAAUCCAUAGAUUUGCUGUAUGAUGUGCAAGAAGCUUAUAUUGCUUUUAAUAGGUAUCUGCAUUUUUUAUUGCCUUUGCAAAGGGACCCAUUCCAUCCCAUGUUGUCAGAAUAGGCAGGCUUUCUGACCUUGUAGAAGUUGUGUACAGAGAAGCAGGGAGGAGGAGGAAUCCUCAAUGUCAGCAUAUCUUUUAAGAUACUGUGAGCCCUUGCAGUUUCUGCUCAAGCCAGUGGUGUUGAAGUGAGGUAACAACCUUGGCUUUGUCCCCCAGGCUGGUGUUCUUGCUCUGAGUCUGACGCACACCUAAUCCGAUAGCUUUUUUCUUUCUUCUGGCAAGCUUGAUGUUGGUGCAGAUUCUGCCCUAAUGUACCUGUAAAUGUACUUGUAAAGAAAGCCUGAAGGUUUGUGGUGCUACAUAGCCUACUGCUGAGAAUAGCUCGGAUGCAGGAUGUUUUUCUCUUGAAGACCAAGCAAAACUGCUAAUGCAUCCUUCAGGAUGUUCAGGUGCCUCCAUCAUGACGGGUGGAAGACUUCAGAAGUGUUUAUGUGCCAUAGGUGUUCAGAGUUUAAAGCUGGCAACUGCUGCUUUCUUCAGCUGGAAAUUGGAGGUACAGAGUUAAAGGGACUUGCUAAAAACUGCAUAGGAAGCCUGUAACGGGGGAUGGAACUGAACCUGCAUCUCUUAAAUCAUGUGUCAGCACUCAUCUUACUUGACAUUUAAUGUGUUUUCUGCAAGGUAUCAGAGGAUAAAAUUUAAUUUUAAGUGGUUAUGUCUGAAAAAAAGGUCAUUUUAAAUAAUUGUCUUUAAGACUUCAAAAUACAAAUAAAAGGUAGAUAGUAGCCUCUUUAAUUUUAGUAUCUUGCAUAUGUUGUACAUUUGGUAGGUACCAAAAACCUUGACAUACCCAGUCAUGCUCGUUAUAUUGGAACAAACAUUAAUGUAUUAGCAUGGCAUACAGCUUAAAAAUAUUUAAGAUCAGAAAACUAAUAUGAUCACUAAGAAUAACUUUCAGUUAUGGACACAGAAGUUUCAAUACUUAAAUGAGACCUAAUUUUGGAGAUGUUGAGUCAUUCCUACAGCUAGUAGCAGCAGUUUUAAAAAAAAAUUAAAUGCUCAGCUUUAGUGUCUGGAAACUUUGAGCAAGAACUGUACUUAAGCAGCCAUACCGUGCCUUGUAAUCUGUUCAUUGUUUUCUUGGCAACUAGACUUCUUUCAAUGCAAACUGAGUAUAGAGAUGGAAAAUAAGUGAAAUUUGUGCACCUGUGAGAAUCUCAGAUUUGUAGGACAUCACGAUUUUCCUGUUGCUUUUAGAAACAAAAUGUCAGGUGAAACACUUGCCUUGCAUCUUAUAUAGAAUUGAAACUUGUGGUUUCUUAAAGUUCUUAAAUUAUACCAAGAAAUAGAAAAUUCUUAUUUGAAAAUUCCAGUGUUUCUGAGUUGCUAAAUGUGGCAAGCACUUCAGGAUUUCAACAAAGUGAUGUUGAUUCUCAAUUGCAUAAGACAAGAAUUUUGAUUGGCGUAGAGAGGGAACUCAAGCAUUAAAAUACUGUUUGGAUAUGCUCACAGUAGACCUGCUGCUAAGCAGGUGGUUGUUAUAUAUCACUGGAUAAUAGACUUCAGUAUUAGAUGAGAUAUGAAUUUUAAUGAUAGAUAAUAGGGAGAGGUGCCCUGUUUAAGGUGAAAGCUAAUUUCUUGUUUACAAAGGCUUUUGAGCAUCUGAAAUGCCAUUAGGUGUGAACCGCUGUGACUCCUGUCUUGGGCUUCUUGUUGUCAUCCCCAGCCCUCAGUGCUGUAACAGCUGAAAAUAGGCUGCGUCUGCAGUGACUUGCAGAAGCAGGCUGAACACAUCUAAGGAGUUUAUAGUUACUCUAGCUCCCCCAUAAGAUCUUAGAUGUGGAAAAUCAUAGAAUCAUGGAAUGGGUUGGGUUGGAAGGAACCAUCUAGUUCCAACCCCCCUGCCAUGGGAAAGGAUGCCUUCCACUAGGCCACGUUGCUCAGAGAUCGAUCCAACCUGGUAUAUACAUUUUAUAUUUACAUAUAUAUAUAUAUAUAUAUAAUCUCCUCUACAGUUAAGAGUUUUUCUCUGAAGUGAUCAGAAAUGGCCUGGAAAGUUCUUUAGUGUCCUUCAUAUAAAAAUGAUAUGCAUAAUCCUGUUGCCUCUGUUGCAGCAAAGGGAUGUAGGUUUACUAGAUGGCCUUUCAGUAUGCAUAUUGGAUAGUACCAUCCAUGGUUCUUGUCACUUUGAAGGUCUCAGCUGUAAGCUGCCUAGAAAUAAUGUGUUCAGGUGCUUUGGCUGAAACUGCUUAUAGUAACAGUUGGGAAGCAAAUAUAUACGGUGCUUCAUUACAUUGGGGUUUGUUGGGCUUUUGCUUGGAAGAGAAUUAUUUCCUCUAAUUUCUUACAAGCACAGUACCAAGGGUGACCCUGCCAAACAAUUUAAGCAAAAUUGACAUUGGUUGAGACUUUUCCUGGACCUUGAAAUCAAACUGGAAAGCAUGAGCUGACUAUAACAACCACAGAACUGAACUGUUAAAAGUAUUUUAUUUAAGUUGAGGUGAUUAUUUCCAGAAAGUUUUGUGUGCAAGAAUAAACGUAGUUUCUGCAGCUCAAAAGUGAUGUGAUGUGGUGCUUAUUCAUUAUUCUAAUAUUGUUCUUCAAGUUGUUUUACAAUAAUUAUUUAAUUUGCUCCCCUAUGAGUAAGUAAAAUUAUUCUGACUUUAUAUACCUCAGUUGAUCCAUCUGAAGAGUUUUUUUCCCAAAGGCUAUAUAAGGAGUUCAUGUCAAAGCCUAGAAUAAAAUGUUAAAUCCCCAGUCCUGCAAUUAGGCCAUAGGCUGUUCUUUAUAGCAAACUAAUUCAUGACUCAGCCACCUAAUUGCAGUGGGACUUCCAAUAAGGUCUUGAACAUCUACUCAUUUAUACAAAUGAUUUUAAGACGCUUUUUUUUGUUGUUGUUUGGAGUUGUUGCUUAAGUAAUUAAAGCCUUGCACAAUAUAGCUUACAAAAGCAAAUAUUAAAUGCAAUUAAUUGGUAAACUGGAGUGACUUGUUUGCAUCAGAAUGGUGGGGGUAUUAUAGGUGUUCUGUAUGGAUUUACCUGUGAAGAUGUAAUAAUUUCCAUUAGAGAGCAAGGUACUCAAACUUUGCAGAAGCUUGCCUACUUUUAGAUAUACCUAUCUAUCUCCUGGCACAUUCCAUAAAUCUACACAUUUAUUUAUAUAUUAUAAAUAUAUAAUAUAUUAUAUAGAUAUAUUCAUAAUAUAAAAAUUAUAAUAAGAUAUAAAAAUAUAAAUUCUAUAGAUGUAAUAAAUAUAUUUGUAAAUACACACAUGUUCAUUGGUGUGUAUUUGCAGGCUCUGCAGACCGAGCCCCUGCUGUUGAUUUAACUCACAAUGUUAGAAGCUGUAAAGCUACCAAAAUACAAAGAAUCAAGGUUUAGAAAAAGUGAAAAGUCUUCUCUGGCUGAAUUUCUUAAGCCAAGGUAGUAAUUAUUUUAGAAGUAUAUAUGUUUUUCUUGCUGUUUUGGUUUAAGAACUGGAAGCUUUCAGCAAAAGAUUAAGAUUGUUUGGUUUCCCCUUGACAAUUCUGUGGUCUUGCUGCUUCUCAUCCUGGUGUAUGAGAGGCUCAGAAACAGGCUAGGGAACACUGUCUAUUUGUAGAACCAUAGAAUGGUUUGGGUUGGAAAGGACCUUAAAGAUCAUCUAGUUCCAACCCACCCACCCCCCCCCCAUGGACACCACUCUCAUCUUCUGAAGCUGAUGCGAGUUUUUAACUAUUGAGGAUCCUGUAUUAAAUGUCCAAGUAAUUGUGUGAAAGGGAUAAGAAAAGUCUUGAUAGUCACACUGGGAAUAUGUUCUUUCUCUAGAUGAGGAAACUUCUAGUUUAAGUUGUGACAGAUUUUACUGCAGGCAAUCAAAGUUUGCAAGUUACGUUAUGAAAUAAUGCUUAGUGGUAUUUAUGCAUGAAUUUGUAAACAAUCUAAUAGGUUUAACUGUAAUUUCUGAUACUUUAGUUCAUAUUGCCCAGAAUUCUUUUACUGUGUAUUUUGGCAGGAUUGUUACCACAAAUUUUCUGUUAAGUCUGAAAUGAAGAGUAUUUUUACUGACUUUCUGAUAUUAGGGACAACAAUGAUGUAAAAAAUAUCUUUGUCCUUUAAAUUACUUUCUUUUUUGAAAGACAAUUAGAAGUGUCAGAAAUAUAUUAGUAAAAUAGGGGAGGAGAUGAGACACUCUGCAUGUAGAAGGUGAUUAAAGUGGCUUAGUACUGAAGACUUCUUUUGAUGAUUAGGAAUAGUUAUCAUGUAUAGAUGCCUUUUAUAUUUAGUGGUCCUAGUAUUUAACAUGUAAAGCUAGAAAUCUUACAUCUUUCCACAAACUUCAACAGAAUUGAAGCUAGUUAUAAGAAAUAGUCUUCAAGAAUACACGUUUUUGUUCUUUGGUUUUUUGAUUUUUUUUUUUUACUCUACAGAAAGUUUCUGCAUUUUAGUUGAACAUACUUGGCUCUGAUACGAAGCUCAGGCAAAAAUUCUGGAAAAGAUGCAACACUUCAAGAAUAUGAAAUUACAAAGCAGGAACCCAUCUGAACUUUUUAGUAACUUCUCCUGUACUGGUCCAGCUUGCUUUUCCUGCCCCCUGUUUAGGAGUACUGGGUAAUCUCUGGCACAGUUUAUUAGUCUUGGUGUGAGGUAUUUGUUGGGGGUUUGUUCGGUGGUUUGUUUGCUUUGUAAUUCUUACUCAUUUAUUCUUUGCUUUUAUUAUAUUUUCACUGCACAUCAUCUUUGGUUUUUAUCUUUAUCCAAUGACAGUUGUAACCAGAAAUCUGGUAAGUACCUUGUAAAAGAGAUUCAGAUGCAAUGUCAAGCACUGCCCGUGGUUUUUUUCUCCCUGAGUAAAAUGAGAGGUAGAGAAAACAGGAGGUAAAAAUCUCUGAGGAUCAUUUCCAUAGCAUUCAUCUUGAGGCUUUCUGACUGUUAUAAGCUGUUAAUUCAAAGUAUACAUACUAACCUAAACAGAAAUGUGGAUGAUACAUGUGCCAUGUGAGGUAAGAUCAAAUAUAGAAACUGUUGAUCAUUGUGUGAAGUGUAAGGCUGUGUGGUCAGUGGUGCAUGGCUGGGCCACAUAAAACAUUUAAAGUCUGUGUAUUUAUUGAUUCUACAUGGCUAUGGUGUCCAUCCUCGGGAAAACUGAGGGAUUUACUGCAGCCUGUUGGUCCCAGAAACUCAUUAAAGAUGGAUAGAAACAUGGGUUUUAGCAUUGAGUAGUUAUCUGGGACUGGGAAUUACAUGCUGGUUGUCUUUUAUGCAGUAAUGACUGUGCCGUGACAGUAGCGAUAUCCUGGAUAUGAUGGUAUUUGACUCUGCACCGGUGUCUUUCAUGGGGCUGUAAAUGGCUGCAAUUGUAUUACCUCUUCAGGAGUUGCCACUGCUCAGUAUCUUGUCACGCUGGAGCUUAAGAUCGUGAGAUCAUUUAAACAGGGUGAGGUACCUUGUUCUUUAAACAUGUUCUGCAAACACGUGUAAUUGGUCUUGCAAAAACUUGCGCCUGAAGAGGUCUUGAAAAGUCAAGCCUUCCUGUGCUGCAUUUGAGUAUAUUUCUUACAGGCUCUGCUAUGAUGUUUGCCCUAGAAUACAUACUGUGCUGCACCGACAGAGAUGAAACCAGCAGGCAUUCUCAUUUUCAGGUGGCCUUCAUGCUUUUCAUUAGGAGCGAUCAGUGCCGCUUGAAGCUUUUCAGCAGUAUUGAGGAAAUUGGAUUUUCCUGCUCCAGGAACAAGGAGCAGAACUGUGCCACUUCUCCCCCUGCCCAUACCUUAGUGCUGGAGAUGGGCAGCACUGAGAGGAGAGACCCCUGCCCAGCUCCUGCAGUGGGCUGAGCUGCCCCCUCGGACAUCCUGCAAUGGCAGCAGCAGUCCGGCUUGUCAGGGCUCUGGUAUAGAUGAGGAGUGGGAGGUUAGCCUCUUUAGCUCUGCUAUAAGUAUUUGUGAGUAGGUUAGGUCCUACUUGAAGCUUUUGGAAGCAUUCGUGAAUUCCUAAGUUUGGCAAUUUUAUAUGUUUUUUCGGGUGUUGUAUGGAAGGGUCUUGCAUUGUUGCUUGGGUGUUGCAGGGCAGAUCUUGGCUUACUGAAAUCCAGCAGGGUGAAAAGCGUGUGAGGAAGAGGUGAUGUUCUUGCCCUCAAAUUUCAUUGGAAUUGUGUAAUUCCACUAUGUCUGAGAAAUCACCCUUCCCCGUUGCGGGCCUGUGCUGCUGCACAGCACCUCAGUGGUGGGUCUACCAAUGCCUGGCCAGUCCAAGCUCUGCAAAUGGUGAGUGAAGCCUCCAGGAGCAGGCAAAAGUCACCUCCAGCAAGAUCGGCAGCCACGGUGAGGAGAGCACUGAGGGAGGAGUCUCCCCCGUACCUAUCAGAAAUAAAUUUGCUCGGAAUACGAAGUGAGGCAGGAAAUUCUGGCACUGUUGUGAGAUAAAGGGUGGAGAGCCAGCCUGAACUUCGGAGCUUGUAGGGCUUGAUUUAGUUGAGAGCUAGGGUUUCCAUGGUGUGUUACCAGAACUCAAAAGCUGGGAAGUACUGUGUGGAGACCUCCAGGGACUCUGAAUGAAGAUGAGCAGGGGCUGGAACCACUAUGUGGAACCACAUAGUUUCUGUAAAGACCUUUUGGUUGAUGUAUGGCACUGACCAACACACAGUCAAUUCGUCAUCAUCUCGGUAUUUGGGGAAAACAAUACAUAGAUGUCCGGUCUGGCUUUCCCAUACUCAGCUUGGCUCUGGCAGGACUGGUACUGAACUGGAGCUCAUAAGCCCAUACUGGAGCCAGUCUUCCACUCAGUAUCCAUGGGCUGUUCUGCCAUUACUUGCCAUAUUCCAACCUCUGUUAUUCUAGAUAAUGAAUACUGACUUUUCUAUAUAGAAAGACAAAUUGCAUGACUCUGUGUGCAUACAUAUUACAAACAGUUUCUAUAUAUAUUAUAGGCAGGCAUAAGAAUACAUACAUAUAUAUAAAACCAAAAUAUCUUAAGUCACGCAGAAUAUACAUACAUAAUCAGUAUUUUCUCUGUAAUGUUGACUACUCAAAAUUUAGGUAGUACAAGGAUAUAUUUUGCAAGAGUAACUUUUUUUUUUGUCCUGUGAAGAUGAGUUUAAUAAGAUGACAUCGUGAGAGUUUUGCAGAAACAUUUUCUUACACAAUUUAAUGUUGCAAAGUGGUUAUUGGACAAAUCUGAAUUAUAAGGUGAAUAAGGCUAUUGACUGUAGAAUUCCCAUCUUAUUUUUGGUGGUGAAGGUUGGUAAUGAAUAAUGUAAAUACAGGAGGCAAAAGCAGGAAAAAGCAAUACAUAUAAGUGCUUCUGUCUGUUCCACCUAAUAGUUCCUAGAUGGUCCUGUGCAAAUAAAUUAAAUUAGACUUUUCACAUCUAUCCUGUCAGCUUGUCAGUUCUUCUUUUUGUUUGGUAGUACAAAACUGCAUUAUUUCCACCACUCCGUUUCCCAGGUGCUAAGUACUCAGUAUUAAAUAGAUCCUCAGAUAUUUAGUUGCCCAGCUUUUCUAGGGUUCCUAAACCUUUUAAAGCACUUGAAUAUUUCAGUGGAACUGGCUAUAAAUCUGCAACAAGUGAGGGUUGGGUUUUUCCCCCUCAUAUAUGUUUCUCAGUGAAUUGGAGUGAUCUUGCAGAACGAGAAGUAAUCUUGUGUUUUAAUUCUGGCUCAUCUAAUUCUUUGCUGAAUGGUUGUCAAGUGGCUGCUCUGAAUUUCUCAAUUUUUCCCACUGGUAAAAUUCAGAAGAUAAAGGAAUACCUGGAGGAGCUGGUGGGGGGCAAGGGAAGUUUGGGGUCCUCAGAUACCAAGAAAUGUGAAAGUGUACCCUAUUCCACUUUCAUUGAAGGGGUUUUAAUGCUGUACAGCAAACACAAUCGGACGCAUGCAUCUGAACAAUAAAGAUAAAAAGAAAUGUUGAAUUAC